rnacentral:rRNA from 1 species
AUGGGGCCACCAGGAGGUUUCGUUGAGGGGGCGUCUGGCCUGGGCUUCAGACAGCGGGGUGGAUUUCGCGGUCAUCAUGGUGGCCGUGUGGGUCGAGGUGGCCGGUACCAUCCUCGACUGCCACCGCCGCCUGUGGUUGACCAGAUGGCGGUCGACGAGACUGUUGAGGAGCAGGUUCUGUCAGGACAAGCUAUGGAGGUGGUAUCCGCGCUUGCCUCGGCUGAGAUUCUAGGAUCGGAGCCCAGGUCGACUGGGAUAGUAGAGGUAACUGGCAUGUCUGACUCUAAGCGGGCGGCCAAGUGGGCGCGUAAGAAACAAAAUAUGUUGUGUUAUAGAUGUGGUGGAAAGGGCCACUUUAUUGCUGAGUGUGUUGCUGAGCUUUGUGGAACUUGUGGAAAAUCAGCACACGACUCGGGGGAUUGUCCGUUUUUGAGAGAUCAGGCACCAGCACUCAUGAUGUAUGGAGUGUAUUGUGCUGAGCUUACUUUUUUUGAAUCUCCAACGGAGAUGGAGGUUCCUGACGAGACUUUGAGUUUAAUGACUGGGUUAGUCAAAGUUGCCAGAGGAGAUGUCUCGGAGGCGCAAAUUGUUCAGAGGCUCAAGGAGUUAGCUCCUGGGGAUUUCCAGUGGGAGCUUGUUAGCAUCGAGGACAAACUGUUUCGGGUUGAGUUUCCGUCAGUUGAGGAUCUUCAGAGACUUCUGAGCUUCGGAAUGUGCAAGGUGCCGGGUACUGAUGGUGUGCUUGAGUUUCACGAGUGGAAGAGGAUUGAGCCUACGGGCAAGCCGCUGACUCAGGUUUGGUUGCGGUACUCUGGGGCCCCCUCCAAGCCGAUGCAGGAUGCUCGGGUCGUGGCCAGUUUGGGUAUCAUGGUGGGCAGACCAGAGCGAGUGGAUAUGGACUUCACCAGAGCCCACGGCAUUGCCCGUAUACUGGUUAGUGUUCUGAACAUCGAGUAUGUGCCUGAGGUGGUAAAGUGGGCAUAUCGAGGCCACAUCUAUAACCUUGUCAUUGAGUUCGAGGAUGAGAGUCUGUUCGCUGAGGUGGCCAGCGGGACGGAUACUGAUAUGCACGAGGGUGAUGAUGGCUCGGCUCUAAAGGAGGCACCAGCAGCUGAUAGUGGACGAGAGUUGUCCACUGUGCCGGGUGCUGACUCUCAAACGUCUGCGAAUGGUACGACACCACCUUCUAUCGUGCCUACGACUUCUCUCAGAUUUGGGUCUUUCGAGCCGGCAUCUGCGCCUCCGAGACUUUGGAGUGAUCAUGUGGAGUCUGAUGAGGUGUUUGAGCAUACGCUGCCGGUGCUGGAGUCUGAGGAGUCUGUGGUUCCUUUUCUGGGUGCGUCGCCGAUUUCGGUCAGGGAUGAGGCGGAGGAGACUGCUCUCGCUGGCGGGGGUCCGGAGAUGGUGAUUUCGGAUUCCUCCGCUGCGGUCGUGGUCUCUCAGGUUCAGCAGGCGGUGCCUUCGGAUGAUGGGGGCAUGGGGCAGGAGGCCUCCGCGCUCUCAUCGGGGCUUCCAGAGGACGGGUUCCUCACGGUGUUGCUUGACUCUUCGGGAGGGGGCCGAGGCUGCCGGCCACGGCUCCUUCCUCCCCUUUUGCCGGGCCGGUUUCGCUGGCGCCGGCGUUGCUUUUCGAAAAGGGCUUGGGGCAGGUGGCCGCGGGGCUCUCUCCUAUGGGGGCGCCUAGGGAGGCCUGCUGGCCUUCAGCGCCGGUGA